GUAUUUAUCUAUAGCUCUGUUAAUUAGAGCUUGGUGCUGAUAACGCCAAGGUUGUUGGUUCAAUUCCCAUAUGCGACA
rnacentral:tRNA from 1 species